CAGCGCCGCGGGAAUACGGAGGGUGCAAGCGUUAUCCGGAUUUAUUGGGUUUAAAGGGUCCGUAGGCGGACUUAUAAGUCAGUGGUGAAAGCCUGUCGCUUAACGAUAGAACUGCCAUUGAUACUGUAAGUCUUGAGUAUAUUUGAGGUAGCUGGAAUAAGUAGUGUAGCGGUGAAAUGCAUAGAUAUUACUUAGAACACCAAUUGCGAAGGCAGGUUACCAAGAUAUAACUGACGCUGAGGGACGAAAGCGUGGGUAGCGAACAGGAUUAGAUACCCCAGUAGUCCCUGUCUCUUAUACA
rnacentral:rRNA from 1 species